rnacentral:rRNA from 2 species
UUAAAUUGAAGAGUUUGAUCAUGGCUCAGAUUGAACGCUGGCGGCAGGCCUAACACAUGCAAGUCGAACGGUAACAGGAAACAGCUUGCUGUUUCGCUGACGAGUGGCGGACGGGUGAGUAAUGUCUGGGAAACUGCCUGAUGGAGGGGGAUAACUACUGGAAACGGUAGCUAAUACCGCAUAACGUCGCAAGACCAAAGAGGGGGACCUUCGGGCCUCUUG